rnacentral:lncRNA from 1 species
UUCAACUGAGUAGUCUAACGUUGUUCCGAUUUUGGUUUUUGUGAACGUUGACAUCGAUUUGUUCCAAAUUUACACUCUCGAGGCAUAAUAGAAAGCUAUUACUCCUUUUUCGAUAGAAUGAGAAAAAGGACUCGUUGCAAAGUUAUACUGUUGUGGCGCAACUGAGUAGUCUAAUGUUGUUCCGGUUUUGGUUGUUGUGAACGUUGACAUCGAUUCGUUCCAAAUUUACACUCUCGGGGCAUAAUAGAACAAUUUAAUUAGGUUUUACUCUUUGUUAGAUUGAACGAGAAAAAAUACUAGAUUCAAAAUUAUACUGUUAGGGCACAACUGAGUAGUCUAAUGUUGUUCUGGUUUUGGUUCUUGUGAACGUUGACGUCGAUUCGUUCCAAAUUUACACUCUCGGGGCAUAAUAGAAAGCUUUUACUUCUUGUUCAAUAGAAUGAGAAAAAGUACUCGUUGCAAAGUUAUACUAUUUUGGCGCAACUGAGUAGUAUAAUGUCGUUCCGGUUUUGGUUUUUGUGAAUGUUGACAUUGAUCGUUCCAAAUUUACACUCUCGGCGCAUAAUAGAACAAUAUAAUUAGGUUUGGGGCUUUGUUCGAUUGAAUGAGAAAACACCCAAAAAGAGAGAGAUUAUCCCAAAUUACACUCUCGGGAAUAGUAGAAAGCUAUUAUAUUCCUUGUUCGAUAGACUAAGAAAAAGUAGUCGUUGCAAAGUUAUACUGGUUGUGGAGCAACUGAGUACCUCUAUAUGUUGUUGACAGUUUGAUUCUUUUGAAUGUUGACAGUUCAUUCGUUCCAAACUUACACUUGUCCGGGGGCAUAAUAGAUAGAAUAUAAUUAGGUUUUGGGGCUUUGUUCGAUGAAUGAAAAAGUACUCGUUGCAAAGUUAUACUGGUCAGGCUCACUGAGUAGUCUAACGUUGUUUCAGCGAUUUUGGUUCUUGUGAACGAUUUCGACAUCCGAUUCGUUCCAAAUUUAUCACUCUCGGGGCAUAAUAAAAGCAUUUCCUUUGUUCGAUAGAAUGAGAAAAAGUAACUUUCGUCGUUGCAAGUUAUACGUUUGGUGCAACUGAGUAGUCCUAACGUAGUUCGCGUUUUGGUUCUUCGUGAACGUUGACACGAUUCGUCCAAAUUUACACUCUCGGGGCAUAAUAGAAAGCUAUUACUCCUUGUUGCGAUAGACAACUGAGAAAAAAGAUACUCGUUGUAAGUUAUAGCUGUUGUGGUGGCACUGAGUAGUCUAAUGUUGUUCGCAAGUUUUGCGUUCUUGUGAACGUUGAACAAUCAGAUUCCAGUUCCAAAUUUAUACUCCUGGGAGAUAGUAGAAGGCGAAUAUAGAUAGGUUGUGCGGUCUUUGUUCGACUUGAAGAAAAAAGUACUACUUGCAAAGUUAUACUGUUAGGGCUCAUUCAGUAGGCUAACCGUUGUUCCGAUUUUGGUUCUUGUAAAGUUGACAUCGAUCGUUCCAAAUUUACACUCUCGGGCAUAAAAGAAGCUAUACUUUUCUUGUUUCGAAGAAUGAGAAAAAGUCCUCGUUGCAAUAGUUUAUACUGUGUGGUGCAAACGAGAAGUCUAAUGUUGUUCCGGUUUUGGUUCUGUGUAACGUUGACAGUUGAUUCGUUCCAGAAUUUAGCACUCUCGGGGCAUAAUAGAACAAUAUAAUUAGGUUUGGGGCUUUGUUCGAUAAUGAAAAAAAGUACUGAGUUGCAAAGUAUAGCUGUUAGGCUCAACUGAGUAUCUAACGUUGUUCCGAUUUUGGUUGCUUGUGAACGUUGACAUCGAUAUCGUUCCAAAUUUACACUCUCGGGUAUAUAGAAAGCAAUUACUCCCUUGUUCGAUAGAAAUGAGAAAAAGUACUCGUUGCUAAAGGUUAUACUAUUUGUGGUGCAACUGAGUAGUUCUAAUGUUGUUUCAGUUUGGUUGCUUGUGAACGUUGACAUCGAUUGCGUUCCAAUUUAACACUCAGCUGGGUAAAUAAAUAAGAAUAAUAUAAUUAGGAUGGACGUUUGUUGAAUUGAAUGAGAAAAUUUAUGUUACAAAGUUAAUACUGUUAGGCUCAAUGAGUAGUCUAACGUUGUUCCGAUUUUGGUUCUUUGUGAACGUUGACAUCGAUUCAUUAGCAAAUUUAUCACUCAUCGGGAAUAGAGAUAAGCUAUUACUCUCCUUGUCGAUAGACUAAAAAAAGUACUCGUUGCAAAGUUUAUACUGUUGUGUGAGGGCAACUGAGUACUCUAAUGUUUGUACAGUUUUGAUUCUUUGGAAGUUGACAUUCUGUCGUCUCAAAUUUACUAGCUCUCGGCAUUAAUAAGAAGCAAUAUAAUUAGGUUUGGGGCUUUUGUUCGAUUGAUGAGAAAAAGUAUGUUUUCGUUGCAAAGUUAUACUGGUUCCAGGGCUCAAUCUGAGUAGUCUAACGUUUUUUCCCGAUUUGGUUCUUGUGGAACGUUGAAACAUCGAUUCGUUCCAUAAUUUACAACGUCCAGGGGCAUAAUAGAAGCUAUUACACCGUUGUCGAUAGAAAUGAGAAAAAGUACUCGUUGCAAAGUUAUACUUGUUGUGGUGGCAACUGAGUAGUCUAAGCGUUGUUCGCGGUUUGGUUCUUGUGAACGUUGAACAUCGAUUCGUUCCAAUUUUACACUCUCCGGGGCAUAAUAGAAACUAUUUACCCUUGUUCGAUAGACUGAGAAAAAGUACUCGGUUGUAAAAGUUAUAACUGUUGUGGUGCAACUGAGUAGUCUAUGUUUUCAGUUUUGGUUCUUGUGAGACUUGACAUCGGAUUGCGUUCCAAAGUUUAUAACUCCCUGGGAAUAAUAGAACAAUAAAUUAGGCAGGUUUUGGUCUUUGUUCGAUUGAAAUGAGAAAAAGUACUACUUNNNNNNNNNNNNNNNNNNNNNNNNNNNNNNNNNNNNNNNNNNNNNNNNNNNNNNNNNNNNNNNNNNNNNNNNNNNNNNNNNNNNNNNNNNNNNNNNNNNNNNNNNNNNNNNNNNNNNNNNNNNNNNNNNNNNNNNNNNNNNNNNNNNNNNNNNNNNNNNNNNNNNNNNNNNNNNNNNNNNNNNNNNNNNNNNNNNNNNNNNNNNNNNNNNNNNNNNNNNNNNNNNNGCAAAGUUAUACUGUUAGGGCUCAACUGAGUAGUCUAACGUUGUUCCGAUUUUGGUUCUUGUGAACGUUGACAUCGAUUCGUUCCAAAUUUACAUUCUCGGGGCAUAAUAGAAAGCAAUUACUACUUGUUCGAUAGAAUGAGAAAAAGUACUCGUUGCAAAGUUAUACUGUUAUAGUGCAACUGAGUUGUCUAAUGUUGUUCCGGUUUCUGUUCUUGUGAACGUUGACAUUGAUUCGUUCCAAAUUACACUCUCGGGGCAUAAUAGAACAAAAUAAUUAGGUUUGGGGGCAUUGCUCCAUUGAAUGAGAAAAAGUACUAGUUGCAAAGUUAUACUGUUAGGGCUCAACUGAGUAGUCUAACGUUGUUCCGAUUUUGGUUCUUGUAAACGUUGACAUCGAUUCGUUCCAAAUUUACACUCUCGGGGCAUAAUAGAAAGCUUUUACUCCUUAUUUGAUAGAAUGAGAAAAAGUACUCGUUGCGAAGUUAUACUGUUGUGGCGCAACUGAGUAGUCUAAUGUAGUUCCGGUUUUGGUUAUUGUGAUCGUUGACAUCGAUUCGUUCCAAAUUUGCACUCUCGGGACAUAAUAGAACUAUUUAAUUAGGUUUUACUCUUUGUUACAUUGAAUGAGAAAAAAUAUUAGUUGCAAAAUCAUACUGUUAGGGCACAACCGAGUAGUCUAAUGUUGUUCUGGAUUUUGUUCUUGUGAACGUUUACGUCGAUUCGUUCCAAAUUUACACUCUCGGGGCAUAAUAGAAAGCUUUUACUACUUUUUCGAUAGAAUGAGAAAAAGUACUCGUUGCAAAGUUAUACUGUUAUGGUGCAACUGAGUAGUCUAAUGUUGUUCCGGUUUCUGUUCUUGUGAACGUUGACAUUGAUUCGUUCCAAAUUUACACUCUCGGUGCAUAAUAGAACAAAAUAAUUAGGUUUGGGGACUUUGCUCCAUUGAAUGAGAAAAAGUACUAGUUGCAAAGUUAUACUGUUAGGGCUCAACUGAGUAGUCUAACGUUGUUCCGAUUUUGGUUCUUGUGAACGUUGACAUCGAUUCGUUCCAAAUUUACAUUCUCGGGGCAUAAUAGAAAGCAAUUACUCCUUGUUCGAUAGAAUGAGAAAAAGUACUCGUUGCAAAGUUAUACUGUUGUGGUGCAACUGAUUUGUCUAAUGUUGUUCCGGUUUUGGUUCUUGUGAACGUUGACAUUGAUUCGUUCCAAAUUUACACUCUCCGGGCAAAAUAGAAUAAUAUAAUUAGGUUUGGGGCUUUGUUCGAUUGAAUGCGAAGAAGUACUCGUUGCAAUGUUAUACUGUUUUGGCGCAACUGAGUAGUCUAAUGUUAUUCCGGUUUUGGUUCUUUUGAACGUUGACAUUGAUUCUGUAACAUACCAGAUUUUGGUAUAAAAAUAAAAAUAAAUAAAAAUAGUGUGAGAAACUAUUUUUAUUGGAUUUGUAGAAGUAAAACAUAAGUCAGAAGUGACUUGUCACGCCCCGCGACCAACUGCCUAUUUGGACCGGGUCGCGGCGCCGACGACAGACCGCCGAACGGACCGGGAAUUCCCCUGUACGCGGACAGAGUCUCCCCAGUACGUCCAAGGCGUCGCAAUCCAAACAAUCAACGAAUGUUCCAACAAGGAACGGAUAUCAAUCCAGAUUGCAUAAGGAAGUAUCAAAUACAUAAUCUACUUGCUAUUACAAGCAUUCAGCUAAGUACAUCUCAAAUCAGUUUACAUUAUACUUCCGAUUUCGAUCAUAAUAAAUAUUACAUAAUUUAUUUUACAAGUUUAGUACAUUUUGAUUCUAGCCUUCCAGAACCCUAAGCUAGACUGCCUCAGGGCACUGCUACCUCAGUCUCUGUGGUGGGGCGCUAUCUACUGAGCUACGCCCUCGCCUCGCGCCGCCGCGCCGCACACGAACGACCUGAAAAUCCCAAAACAACGUGGGGUGAGAACCAAUUCCAUGGUUUCCAGUGGGUACGGCCACCCAAGGGAAAAGCUCGACCGAUAGGUC